rnacentral:rRNA from 1 species
AGAGUUUGAUCAUGGCUCAGAUUGAACGCUGGCGGCAGGCUUAACACAUGCAAGUCGAGCGGAAACGAUAGUAGCUUGCUACUAGGCGUCGAGCGGCGGACGGGUGAGUAACACUUAGGAAUCUGCCCAGUAGUGGGGGAUAGCUCGGGGAAACUCGAAUUAAUACCGCAUACGACCUACGGGUGAAAGGGGGCGCUUGCGCCCUCGCUAUUGGAUGAGCCUAAGUCGGAUUAGCUAGUUGGUGGGGUAAAGGCCUACCAAGGCGACGAUCUGUAGCUGGUCUGAGAGGAUGAUCAGCCACACCGGGACUGAGACACGGCCCGGACUCCUACGGGAGGCAGCAGUGGGGAAUAUUGGACAAUGGGGGCAACCCUGAUCCAGCCAUGCCGCGUGUGUGAAGAAGGCCUUUUGGUUGUAAAGCACUUUAAGCAGUGAAGAAGACCCUAUGGUUAAUACCCAUAAGCGAUGACAUUAGCUGCAGAAUAAGCACCGGCUAACUCUGUGCCAGCAGCCGCGGUAAUACAGAGGGUGCAAGCGUUAAUCGGAAUUACUGGGCGUAAAGCGAGCGUAGGUGGUUUAAUAAGUCAGAUGUGAAAUCCCUGGGCUUAACCUGGGAACUGCAUCUGAUACUGUUAGGCUAGAGUAGGUGAGAGGGAGGUAGAAUUUCAGGUGUAGCGGUGAAAUGCGUAGAGAUCUGAAGGAAUACCGAUGGCGAAGGCAGCCUCCUGGCAUCAUACUGACACUGAGGUUCGAAAGCGUGGGUAGCAAACAGGAUUAGAUACCCUGGUAGUCCACGCCGUAAACGAUGUCUACUAGUCGUUGGG